rnacentral:lncRNA from 1 species
AUACAUUGAAACAAACCCUAGGCCAAUUAUUUUUCUACACAUGCAAAAAAUCCACAAAAAUAACCAUUAAAUUCUACACAUCACAAGGAGAAUGGCACAAAAAAUUGCAUCAAAUUUGGAUCAAAAACGAGUGAGAUAUGGAUUUUUGAUCAUGGUGAAAAAAUAAAAAAAAAAGUGUGGAAUUAAGGCAUGUGCACAUGAAAGCAUAUGGAAAUUAAAUAGGCAAGGCAAAAGGGAACCGCUGUACAGCGGGACCGAACCGAGGCAGCGCGCGCUACUGUUCAUAACAGCAUCCACACGGCCAAACACAAAUUUCAUGAACAGUGACGCGCAAAUGGAUCUAAAUCAAGUCUUUUGGAAAAAAAUUGAAUGUUCUUC